rnacentral:rRNA from 1 species
CCCUACGGGGCGCAGCAGGAUGCCCAGCACCAGGGAAAGGACGGUCAGGAGGACCCCGAACACGAAAAAGCCCGUGUUCCUGACGAAGGUUUUCUUGUAGUACCGGUUUUUCAGGGUGUCCUUAAAGGCAGUAACGGCUCCGCCGAUGGCGGUGUGGUUAGCCUUGUCAACCGCCAGGGUGUCGUGGAGUCCCACGAGGGGGUAAACGGCCACUCUCUCUUCCGCGUCGAGGGAGUCGAAAUCGGGCUUCGGUCCUCUCCGCAGGAAGUAGUUGCCGCCACCCUGCUCGAUGGUCACGACUCCCUUGACUG